GAUGAAGAACGUAGCGAAAUGCGAUACGUAAUGUGAAUUGCAGAAUUCAGUGAAUCAUCGAAUCUUUGAACGCAUAUUGCGCUCUCUGGUAUUCCGGAGAGCAUGCUUGUUUGAGUAUCAGUAAACACCUCAACUUCCAUAUCUUUUUUGAAAUGGGAGUUGGACUUGAGUGAUCCCAACGCUUUUCCUCACCGAAAAGUGGCGGGUUACUUGAAAUGCAGGUGCAGCUGGACUUUUCUCUGAGCUAUAAGCAUAUCUAUUUAGUCUGCCUAAAAAACAGAUUAUUACCUUUGCUGCAGCUAACAUAAAGGAGAUUAGUUCUUGUGCUGACUGAUGCAGGAUCCACAAAGACGGCUUCGGCCGACUUUGUAAACUCGAUCUCAAAUCAAGUAAGACUACCCGCUGAACUUAAGCAUAUCAAUAAGCGGAGGA
rnacentral:misc_RNA from 1 species